UACGGUGGAUCUUAUAGCCAAAUGGAUGAUGACUAUGGAUAGACGAGGUCAAAUAUAUUUCAUUCCUUGGAUUGUUGAUCGACAUUGGAUGUUGGUGCUCGUGAUGAUGCGGGGGAUGACCAUAAUUUUGGAUCCUUUAAAAAUCAUAAAUCUCCACCAAUAAUUACGGAGGUUAUGGGAAAAGCAUACGCACAAUGUUUGGAAAAUGAAUACAUCGGCACAUUUACAAAAUUGGUGAGAGGUUCUUGUCCAAAACAACCUGAAAGUCAUGAAUGUGGUUAUUAUGUACUAAGAUACAUUUAUG